rnacentral:misc_RNA from 1 species
UCCGAGUUGUCCCCGGCAGUCCCCUUAGAGUCCCCGGCAUUACCCGCUGGCAACUAAGGGCAGGGGUUGCGCUCGUUGCGGCACUUAAGCCAACACCUCACGGCACGAGCUGACGACAGCCAUGCAGCACCUAUACACCGGCCUCCGAAGAGGCACCUGUCUCCAGGUGUUUCCCGGUGAUGUCAAACCCAGGUAAGGUUCUUCGCGUUGCAUCGAAUUAAUCCGCAUGCUCCGCCGCUUGUGCGGGCCCCCGUCAAUUCCUUUGAGUUUCAGUCUUGCGACCGUACUCCCCAGGCGGAGUGCUUAAUGUGUUGACUUCGGCACAGCAGGGGUCGAUACCCGCUACACCAAGCACUCAUCGUUUACGGCGUGGACUAC